GACAGAGGUGCCAAGCGUUAGGCGGAAUCACUGGGCUUAAAGCGUGUGUAGGCGGAAUGGUAAGUACCUUGUGAAAUCCCACGGCUCAACCGUGGAACUGCUUGGUAUACUGCUUUUCUUGAGCCACUUAGGGGCAACCGGAACAAACGGUGGAGCGGUGAAAUGCGUAGAUAUCGUUUGGAACGCCAAUGGUGAAAACAGGUUGCUGGGAGUGUGCUGACGCUGAGACGCGAAAGCGUGGGGAGCGAACAGG
rnacentral:rRNA from 1 species